AUGGACAAUAUCAAACUGUUACAAAGUUCAGGGUUCCCACCGUCACAUAGUUUCAAAUAUGUGAUUUUCAGAUCUGGAAAAGUCAUAAAAAUCUUAAAAUUUACUCUAUGCUCUAAAAUAUUAAAUUGGCUCAAGUAAAACUGAAUUGCGUGAAUCAUUCAGUGAAUCAGUGAUUCACAAAUCAGUUUAUCACGUAAAAAAAAUGUAAGGGAAUUUUACAUUUGUGUUUUCUAGAUCUGGAAAAGUCAUAAAAUCUUAACUUCUUUUUAAAAAUUUGCUCUAUGCUCUAAAAUAUUAAACUGGCUCAAGUAAAACUGAAUUGAGUGAAUCAUUCAGUAAAUCAGUGAUUCACAAAUCAGUUAAUCAUGUAAAAAAAUUUAGGCAAUUUUACAUUUGUGUUUUCUAGAUCUGGAAAAGUCAUAAAAUCUUAAAAGUUCUUUAAAAAAAAUUGCUCCAUGCUCUAAAAUAUUAAAUUGGCUCAAGUAAAACUGAAUUGAGUGAAUCAUUCAGUGAAUCAGUGGUUCACAAAUCAGUUAAUCAUGUAAAAACUUUUAGGCAAUUUUACAUUUGUGUUUUCUAGAUCUGGAAAACUCAUAAAAUCUUAAAAGUUCUUUAAAAAUUUGCUCUAUGCUCUAAAAUAUUAAAUUGGCUCAGGUAAAACUGAAUUGGGUGAAUCACUCUUUUGAGUUGAUUCAGUGAAUCAGUGGUUUACAAAUCAGUUUAUCAUGUAAAGAAAAUUUACAUUUUUGUUUUCUAGAGCUGGAAAAGUCCUAAAAUCUUAAAAGUUCUGGUAAAAAUCUGCUCUAAAGUAUUAAAUUGGCUCUAGUAAAACUGAACUGAGUGAAUCAUUCAGUGAAUCAGUGGUUCACAAAUAAGUUAAUCAUGUAAAAAAUUUUGGGGGGAUUUUACAUUUGCGUUUUCUAGAUCUGGAAACGUCAUAAAAUCUUUAAAGGUCUUAAAAAUGUGUAUAAUGAAUAUAGAUUUUGCGAGUAAUGUUCUAAAUAUUGCGCUUGCAUUGAGUAAAACUUGUUUGCAAGCCAUAAAGCAGUCUGUUUGAAUGAUUCAUCAGUGAAUCGGAAUGAUCCACAUCUAUUCUGGAAAUCUCACGGAAAGUCACUGACUGGUCAGAAGUGUGGGAACCCUGAGGGCCGGAUCCUGUCCAGUGUGUUCAGAUGGCAGUGCAUUUAUAAAUAAAUCCGAACACUAGUUCUGGUAAAGGGAAUGU
ensembl:lncRNA